rnacentral:rRNA from 11 species
UCUCGGCAACGGAUAUCUCGGCUCUCGCAUCGAUGAAGAACGUAGCGAAAUGCGAUACCUGGUGUGAAUUGCAGAAUCCCGUGAACCAUCGAGUCUUUGAACGCAAGUUGCGCCCGAGGCCAUCCGGCCAAGGGCACGCCUGCCUGGGCGUCACG